rnacentral:tRNA from 1 species
GUGUCGGUAGCUCAAUUGGCGAAGCACUCGUCUAGCUUACAAGAGUCGUGGGUUUGAACCCCACCUGAGCACA